rnacentral:rRNA from 1 species
UGGCUGCAGUAAGGAAUAUUGGGCAAUGGGCGCAAGCCUGACCCAGCCAUGCCGCGUGCAGGAUGACAGCCCUACGGGUUGUAAACUGCUUUUGUACGGGAAGAACCCCCCGAUCGUGAUCGGGGCUGACGGUACCGUAAGAAUAAGCAUCGGCUAACUCCGUGCCAGCAGCCGCGGUAAUACGGAGGAUGCAAGCGUUAUCCGGAUUCAUUGGGUUUAAAGGGUGCGCAGGCGGAAUGGUAAGUCAGUGGUGAAAUCCUACAGCUCAACUGUAGAACUGCCAUUGAUACUGCCACUCUAGAGUAUAGUUGAGGUGGGCGGAAUGUAGCAUGUAGCGGUGAAAUGCUUAGAUAUGCUACAGAACACCAAUAGCGAAGGCAGCUCGCCAAACUAUAACUGACGCUCAUGCACGAAAGCGUGGGGAUCAAACAGGAUUAGAUACCCUGGUAGUC